AGAUUCAACUGGAUACAUCCUUGAGUGCCAUUUCUUGCUUCUUCACUUGGGAAAGGCAGAGGAAAGGAGCAAGGAGGGAUAUCUGUCACUACAGUAAAACAAUGGAAAGAAAAUAAACACGUUGAAACAGUGA